rnacentral:tRNA from 1 species
GGGCGCGUAGCUCAGUUGGUUAGAGUGCUGCUUUCACACGGCAGAGGUCCGCAGUUCGAAUCUGCGCGCGCCCACCA